GAUCAUGGCUCAGAUUGAACGCUGGCGGCAGGCCUAACACAUGCAAGUCGAACGGUAACAGGAAGCAGCUUGCUGCUUCGCUGACGAGUGGCGGACGGGUGAGUAAUGUCUGGGAAGCUGCCUGAUGGAGGGGGAUAACUACUGGAAACGGUAGCUAAUACCGCAUAAUGUCGCAAGACCAAAGAGGGGGACCUUCGGGCCUCUUGCCAUCGGAUGUGCCCAGAUGGGAUUAGCUUGUUGGUGGGGUAACGGCUCACCAAGGCGACGAUCCCUAGCUGGUCUGAGAGGAUGACCAGCCACAUUGGAACUGAGACACGGUCCAGACUCCUACGGGAGGCAGCAGUGGGGAAUAUUGCACAAUGGGCGCAAGCCUGAUGCAGCCAUGCCGCGUGUAUGAAGAAGGCCUUCGGGUUGUAAAGUACUUUCAGCGGGGAGGAAGGGAGUAAAGUUAAUACCUUUGCUCAUUGACGUUACCCGCAGAAGAAGCACCGGCUAACUCCGUGCCAGCAGCCGCGGUAAUACGGAGGGUGCAAGCGUUAAUCGGAAUUACUGGGCGUAAAGCGCACGCAGGCGGUUUGUUAAGUCAGAUGUGAAAUCCCCGGGCUCAACCUGGGAACUGCAUCUGAUACUGGCAAGCUUGAGUCUCGUAGAGGGGGGUAGAAUUCCAGGUGUAGCGGUGAAAUGCGUAGAGAUCUGGAGGAAUACCGGUGGCGAAGGCGGCCCCCUGGACGAAGACUGACGCUCAGGUGCGAAAGCGUGGGGAGCAAACAGGAUUAGAUACCCUGGUAGUCCACGCCGUAAACGAUGUCGACUUGGAGGUUGUGCCCUUGAGGCGUGGCUUCCGGAGCUAACGCGUUAAGUCGACCGCCUGGGGAGUACGGCCGCAAGGUUAAAACUCAAAUGAAUUGACGGGGGCCCGCACAAGCGGUGGAGCAUGUGGUUUAAUUCGAUGCAACGCGAAGAACCUUACCUGGUCUUGACAUCCACGGAAGUUUUCAGAGAUGAGAAUGUGCCUUCGGGAACCGUGAGACAGGUGCUGCAUGGCUGUCGUCAGCUCGUGUUGUGAAAUGUUGGGUUAAGUCCCGCAACGAGCGCAACCCUUAUCCUUUGUUGCCAGCGGUCCGGCCGGGAACUCAAAGGAGACUGCCAGUGAUAAACUGGAGGAAGGUGGGGAUGACGUCAAGUCAUCAUGGCCCUUACGACCAGGGCUACACACGUGCUACAAUGGCGCAUACAAAGAGAAGCGACCUCGCGAGAGCAAGCGGACCUCAUAAAGUGCGUCGUAGUCCGGAUUGGAGUCUGCAACUCGACUCCAUGAAGUCGGAAUCGCUAGUAACCGUGGAUCAGAAUGCCACGGUGAAUACGUUCCCGGGCCUUGUACACACCGCCCGUCACACCAUGGGAGUGGGUUGCAAAAGAAGUAGGUAGCUUAACCUUCGGGAGGGCGCUUACCACUUUGUGAUUCAUGACUGGGGUGAAGUCGGAACAAGGUA
rnacentral:rRNA from 1 species